rnacentral:rRNA from 1 species
CAAGAUAGAGGUCCGCCUGCCCAGUGACAUCUAGUUCAACGGCCGCGGUAUUUUGACCGUGCAAAGGUAGCGUAAUCACUUGUCUUUUAAAUGAAGACCUGUAUGAAUGGCAUAACGAGGGCUUAGCUGUCUCCUCUUUCCAGUCAAUGAAAUUGAUCUCCCCGUGCAGAAGCGGGGAUAUAACCAUAAGACGAGAAGACCCUAUGGAGCUUUAGACGUCAAAGCAGAUCAUGUUAAACACCCCCAAAUAAGGGACCAAACUAAAUGACCCCUGCUUUAAUGUCUUCGGUUGGGGCGACCAUGGGGAAAUAAAAAACCCCCACGCGGACUGGGAGCACUAAACCCCUUCUUUACCUCUCCUCCCACAACUAAGAGCUACAGCUCUAACUAACAGAAUAUCUGACCAAUC